CCUGCGGAAGGAUCAUUAGUGAAUCUAGGACGUCCAACUUAACUUGGAGUCCGAACUCUCACUUUCUAACCCUGUGCAUCUGUUAAUUGGAAUAGUAACUCUUCGGAGUGAACCACCAUUCACUUAUAAAACACAAAGUCUAUGAAUGUAUACAAAUUUAUAACAAAACAAAACUUUCAACAACGGAUCUCUUGGCUCUCGCAUCGAUGAAGAACGCAGCGAAAUGCGAUACGUAAUGUGAAUUGCAGAAUUCAGUGAAUCAUCGAAUCUUUGAACGCACCUUGCGCUCCUUGGUAUUCCGAGGAGCAUGCCUGUUUGAGUGUCAUGAAAUCUUCAACCCACCUCUUUCUUAGUGAAUCUGGUGGUGCUUGGUUUCUGAGCGCUGCUCUGCUUCGGCUUAGCUCGUUCGUAAUGCAUUAGCAUCCGCAACCGAACUUCGGAUUGACUUGGCGUAAUAGACUAUUCGCUGAGGAUUCUAGUUUACUAGAGCCGAGUUGGGUUAAAGGAAGCUCCUAAUCCUAAAGUCUAUUUUUUGAUUAGAUCUCAAAUCAGGUAGGACUACCCGCUGAACUUAAGCAUAUCAAUAACUAGAGCCGAGUUGGGUUAAAGGAAGCUCCUAAUCCUAAAGUCUAUUUUUUGAUUAGAUCUCAAAUCAGGUAGGACUACCCGCUGAACUUAAGCAUAUCAAUA
rnacentral:rRNA from 1 species